rnacentral:misc_RNA from 1 species
AAGUCGUAACAAGGUUUCCGUAGGUGAACCUGCGGAAGGAUCAUUAUCACGUAUCCACGUAUAAACCAUUGUGAACCGUUCUUAACCUCUGCAAAACCGAAAAAGAAUUUGUCAUGUAAUGUGAUGGGUUUUUUCUCGGCCAGUAACAGAGCGUAUUUACCUAUUAACCAUUUUAACCAAACUUUAUAACUUUAUGAACUAACUUUAUUUUAUACUCUUCGGAGAUAAAAUUCAUUACGAAACAAAGAACAACUCUUAGCAACGGAUAUCUUGGUUCUC